GACGAACGCUGGCGGCGUGCUUAACACAUGCAAGUCGAACGGCAAGGCCCUGCUUUUGUGGUGUGCUCGAGUGGCGAACGCGUGAGUAACACGUGAGUAACCUGCUCUUGUCUUUGGUAUAACUUCAGGAAACUGGGGCUAAUCUCGUAUCGGAGCUCCCGUUGCAUGGUGGGGGUUGGAACGUCUCGGCGGUUGGGGAUGGACUAGCGGCUUAUCAGCUAGUUGGUGGGGUAGUGGCUGACCAAGGCUUUGACGGGUAGCCGGCCUGUGAGGGUGACCGGCCACAUUGGGACUGAGAGACGGCCCAGACUCCUACGGGAGGCAGCAGUGGGGAAUAUUGCACAAUGGGCGGAAGCCUGAUGCAGCAACGCCGCGUGCGGGAUGACGGCCUUCGGGUUGUAAACCGCUUUCGCCUGUGACGAAGCGUGAGUGACGGUAAUGGGUAAAGAAGCACCGGCUAACUACGUG
rnacentral:rRNA from 1 species